UGGCAGUCGGGAAAUACAGUCAGUUGGCCGCGAGCUUUCGCGCGGAAGGACGUGCGCAGUGGUAGUUUUUGUCCCUUCUCGGAAAACGCGGAAAACUUUACGUCAAUCGUGUGAUUAUCGUAUUGUGUGUGUCAAUUUUUUUCUUUUUAUUUUUCUUAUUGUGUGAUUAGUUUUUUUUUUGUGAGUGGUGGAGAUUAUAUUUUGGAGAGGUAGUAUCAGCCAGAUGAGCGGUCCGUUGUGACCCGGCGCAUCAACACGAUGCACCAAUGCUCGCUCUUCAUACUCGUCCUCCUAUGCGUGUCUGUCAAAGAUAUAUCCGGUAGCUGGGAAGAAUGGUGGACGUACGAUGGCAUAUCAGGUCCCGGGUUCUGGGGUCUGAUAAACCCACAAUGGAGUAUGUGCAACAAAGGCCGGCGACAGUCGCCAGUCAACAUAGAACCAGACAAGUUGCUGUUCGACCCCUGGCUGAGGGACAUACAGUUCGAUAAACACAAGGUCAGCGGAGUUCUUCAAAACACAGGACAAUCCCUGGUCUUCCGAGUGGAGAAGGACUCGAAGCAUCAGGUGAACAUCAGCGGAGGACCUCUCUCCUACCGCUACCAGUUCGAGGAGAUCUACUUCCAUUAUGGAAUGGAAGACAACCGAGGUUCUGAACACCAGAUUGACCACCACACCUUUCCUGGCGAGAUCCAACUGUACGGUUUCAAUAAAGAACUGUACCACAACAUGUCGGAAGCACAGCACAAAUCUCAAGGAAUCGUCGGCAUCUCUCUAAUGGUACAGGUUGGCGAACCUAUCAACACUGACUUUAGAUUGAUAACCAGUGCGUUCAACAAAGUUACUUAUCGAGGUGCCUCAUUCCCUAUAAAACACCUACCACUAAGUUCCCUGCUACCGAACACACAGCAGUACUUGACUUACGAAGGCUCUACGACACACCCUGGAUGCUGGGAGACAGCCGUCUGGAUCAUCUUCAACAAACCUAUUUAUAUUUCUAAACAAGAGAUGUAUGCCCUCCGUCAGCUGAUGCAAGGAUCCCAGUUGACUCCUAAAGCACCGCUGGGCAACAACGCGCGUCCAGUGCAGCCAUUACACCAUCGCACCGUCAGGACCAACAUCAACUUCAACAAACAAGGAUUGCAGGGUUCAAGCAAUUGUCCAGACAUGUACCGAAAUAUGCAUUAUACAGCACGGUAUCGCCACAAGCGUCGUUCCAAAAAAAGUGUUGCAUGCAAAAGGCACGAUAAAGAUAGACCAAAGAAAUGUCACAGAAAUAGAAGGAUCAGAGACGCUAUUGUCUAUUCCUAGUGAAACAAUAGCCAAUGUAACUACAAUGACUACUACAACACCUGCAAGCUUAGUUAACGUAACCGAGAGCAAUGACCUCAGGUAAUCAACCCAAUGGCCGAAGGAGCACAGCUUGCGGUACAGAAGCGUUGACGACCUAUCUUUGGCACACAAUUGAACUAUAUAUAACUUCUAAUAUACCUUUUAUAUACUAUCGCCAUUAUAGUUAUCAAAACAUAUUUUUCAAAAACAUGUAUGUAGCUGUCACACUAAAUAUCUUAUGUAAAACAUUUAUUUUAAACAACGUUAUAAAUUAUAUACUAAAUUAAUUUAUUAUGUUAUCGGCUUACUCACAUAACUGUUUGACGAGGAAAGUCAGUAGCUGCGCGACAGUCGCUAUGUCCAGUGUCGCAGACUGUUGCUCAUGAAUAUGAGCCUCUAGCAUGGCUUAAAACUAGUCGAGUUCCUCGUCAAACAGUUACGUGAGUAAGCCGAUAACGUUAUACAUGUUUGAUUUAUUUUAUUGAAAUACAAUUUCAGUUUACUGCAUUUAAUUUUAACACUCUAUUCAAUCUAGUUUCAUCAAAGUAAAAUUAAUAUUGAUUGAACUAUUUCUAUUCGUUUGUAUAUAACUAUAUAAUAUUAACUAUAACGCUUAAUUUAUAUCAAUUAUAAAUUAUAACAUACAAAAAAUAUGCUGUUGCUUUUGUAUCACCAAGCUCUUGGUAAUAUUUGCUCAUGUAUAUAAAUAAGCACUGCAUAUAGAACGCACAAUUGGUUUGUUUAAAAAUGUAUCGUUAACUUAUGGCUCAUAUAAAAUUCUGUGCAAUUAUUAAUCUUGAUGAGGCAAACUUGUAACGAGGUAGACUCCUCAGUUGCUUAAAUGUUAGAUUAAGUAAAUUAACUAUACCUAUUCCUAGCGAAACUGUAUCAUUGCUACUUAGAAAUGUAUAAGGUAGCCUGUCUUAACUAAAAAAUAGCGACUACGUAUAAAAAAGCCUCAGAAAGAAUAUCUCAAGGUUGUAUAGUCUCAAUUUAUCUAUGAAAGUAGAGAAAAGUAUUUAUAAUAGAAAUGGUUACAAAAUAAAAAGCAACAAAGAUAUAAUUAGAUCUAAAACUAAUAAUUAUAAACCGUCAAUUGUGUAGACAAUAUUUCCGCGAUACUGUUAAAGUUAAGCAAUAUAUACAAAAUUUAACAAACGCUUCAUACUACUUUAUCUUGUACUAUAAAUAUAUAGAAAUUAUAUGUAGAAAUUAUAACUGUAUAUAGGAAUGUAUAUACGAAAUGAUUUCCAAUUUAUAAUUAAAAAGAAGUAUCAUAAAUUCGUCCACACUUUUAAGUGUAUCUAUCGCAAUUAUACGAUUGUAAGGCUUAUAUUUGGUAGGUAUAUGCGAUAUUAAAAAUAUAAUAUAAAAUUAACAACAAUAUCAAAUUAUAAUAUAAUGUAUAACAGUAGAUACAUGUUUGGUAUAGUGCGGGUUAUAUAUAAAAGUACAAUACCGCAAUAGUAUAUAUAAUUUUUAUUAAAAUACAUUAUAUAAAUGACUUUGGUUCGCUUUACAUGUAACAUAAUAUAUUAAAAAAGGGCUUAUGACUAGAUUGGUAUAUAAAUAAAAAAGGUAGACAUAGAAAUUGGGAAUUAUAUAAUCGUAAUUUAAAAAUGCUGUCUAUAUCAAAACUCCGGUAAAUGUGAAUGAAGUUAAAAGUAGGUAAAAAAUUAAAAGAGUUUUUGUUAAAUUUUGGUAAAAUAUAUAUUAUAAAUAGCUAUACGAUUAUUGUAAGUAACUGUAAUGUACCUAUGGAAUUAAAUGUAGUAGUUAGAUGCCUGUGUUGUCUUUAUGAGUUCAAUAAUAAAAUGUUUAACUAAA